rnacentral:ribozyme from 1 species
AUCCCAGGGGGUCACCAUCCUACUGCUGCUCGUAUUCCUCCACAGAUGGCCAGAACGAUGGAAUGAGCGAUCCUCCCUGGUGGAAUGCCGGAGGGUGGAGGGCCAGAAGAGAAUCCCGGAUCCUGGUCGAAUG